UCUAAUAUGGCAGAAUAGUGCUAUGAACUUAAGAUUCAUAUAUGAGGACCUCCUCUAUUAGAA
rnacentral:tRNA from 1 species